UGAGGAAUAUUGGUCAAUGGCCGCAGGGCUGAACCAGCCAAGUCGCGUGAGGGAUGACGGUCCUAUGGAUUGUAAACCUCUUUUGUCAGGGAGCAAAGGACGCCACGCGUGGUGUUUUGCGAGUACCUGAAGAAAAAGCAUCGGCUAACUCCGUGCCAGCAGCCGCGGUAAUACGGAGGAUGCGAGCGUUAUCCGGAUUUAUUGGGUUUAAAGGGUGCGCAGGCGGAAUGUCAAGUCAGCGGUAAAAUUUCGGGGCUCAACCCCGUCGUGCCGUUGAAACUGGCGUUCUUGAGUGAGCGAGAAGUAUGCGGAAUGCGUGGUGUAGCGGUGAAAUGCAUAGAUAUCACGCAGAACUCCGAUUGCGAAGGCAGCAUACCGGCGCUCAACUGACGCUCAUGCACGAAAGCGUGGGUAUCGAACAGG
rnacentral:rRNA from 1 species